rnacentral:rRNA from 1 species
UACGUAGGGUGCAAGCGUUGUCCGGAAUUAUUGGGCGUAAAGAGCUCGUAGGCGGCUUGUCGCGUCGGCUGUGAAAACCCGGGGCUCAACCCCGGGCCUGCAGUCGAUACGGGCAGGCUAGAGUCCGGCAGGGGAGACUGGAAUUCCUGGUGUAGCGGUGAAAUGCGCAGAUAUCAGGAGGAACACCGAUGGCGAAGGCAGCUCGCUGGGACGGUACUGACGCUGAGGCGCGAAAGCGUGGGGAGCAAACAGG